rnacentral:rRNA from 1 species
ACCAUAAACAAUGUCAGCCUGUACCCGAAACCGACACAGGUAGGGAGGUAGAGUAUACCGAAGGGGCGCGAGAUAACUCUCUCUAAGGAACUCGGACAAAAUCGACCCCGUAACGUUCGGAGAAGGGGUGCUCGUUUCGGGUGAAUACGCCCAGGAGAGCCGCAGUGAAGACGUCCCAGGCGACUUGUUUAACCAAAACACAGGUCUCCGACAAAGUCGUAAGACGACGUAGUGGGGGCUGACGCCUGCCCAGUGCCGGAAGGUUAAGGAAGUUGGUUAGGGUAACCGAAGCUAGCGACUGAAGCCCCGGUGAAUGGCGGCCGUAACUAUAACGGUCCUAAGGUAGC